rnacentral:rRNA from 1 species
UGGGGAAUAUUGCACAAUGGGCGAAAGCCUGAAUGCAGCAACGCCGCGUGAGUGAUGAAGGCCUUCGGGUUGUAAAGCUCUGUCUUUUGGGACGAUAAUGACGGUACCAAAGGAGGAAGCCACGGCUAACUACGUGCCAGCAGCCGCGGUAAUACGUAGGUGGCAAGCGUUGUCCGGAUUUACUGGGCGUAAAGGAUGCGUAGGCGGAUUUUUAAGUGAGAUGUGAAAACCCUAGCUUAACUUGGGGACUGCAUUUCAUACUGGAAAUCUAGAGUGCGGGAGAGGAGAAUGGAAUUCCUAGUGUAGCGGUGAAAUGCGUAGAGAUUAGGAAGAACACCAGUGGCGAAGGCGAUUCUCUGGACCGUAACUGACGCUGAGGCAUGAAAGCGUGGGUAGCAAACAGGAUUAGAUACCCUGGUAGUCCACGCCGUAAACGAUGAGUACUAGGUGUAGGAGGUAUCGACCCCUUCUGUGCCGCAGUUAACACAAUAAGUACUCCGCCUGGGAAGUACGAUCGCAAGAUUAAAACUCAAAUGAAUUGACGGGGGUCAUAGCUG